rnacentral:rRNA from 1 species
ACAUUACAAGAAACUGCGAAUGGCUCAUUAUAUAAGUUAUCGUUUAUUUGAUAGUACCUUACUACAUGGAUAACCGUGGUAAUUCUAGAGCUAAUACAUGCUGAAAAUCCCGACUUCGGAAGGGAUGUAUUUAUUAUAUUCAAAACCAAUGCCCUUCGGGGCUCCAAUGGUGAUUCAUGAUAACUUCUCGAAUCGCACGGCCCCGCGCCGGCGAUGGUUCAUUCAAAUUUCUUCCCUAUCAACUUUCGAUGCUACGGUAGUGUCCUAGCAUGGUUGCAACGGGUAACGGGGAAACGGGGAAUAAACCNUNGNCGGGGCGGGGGNGAAAAAAAGAGGUUAUUNUGAAUCCUNGGNGNUCGAAGGGUUGGNUUUGUAUCUUUACAUUAUCCUUUCAANUCGGGAUUUCAGNAUGUAUUAUUCUAGANAACGGUUNUNAUGUGNAAGGUACUAUCAAUUGAUAAUUUAUUUAAUGAGCNUGUGUUUCGCUUUGUUUUGNUUUCCUUAUUNUGNAUGG